GAUAGACCAACACACAAAUCACUUCCUUCAGGAUAGAUGAGUCUCUAGUCUAUAGUGUAGAGACACUAGGCGAUGAGUGCGGAUAGUUGUUACAGAACAACUAGUACUAAGCAUAACUAUACGAUAGAUCACUUGAAUUUUUAUUUAAUCGUCAGUGAUUGUCUCAAUACUGUAGUUAUAUGAAUGGUCCUUUGAUCUGAGAUGGUACUACUGCUCGCAGU
rnacentral:lncRNA from 1 species